rnacentral:rRNA from 1 species
AGAGUUUGAUCCUGGCUCAGGAUGAACGCUAGCUACAGGCUUAACACAUGCAAGUCGAGGGGAAACGACAUCGAAAGCUUGCUUUUGAUGGGCGUCGACCGGCGCACGGGUGAGUAACGCGUAUCCAACCUGCCCACCACUUGGGGAUAACCUUGCGAAAGUAAGACUAAUACCCAAUGAUAUCUCUAGAAGACAUCUGAAAGGGAUUAAAGAUUUAUCGGUGAUGGAUGGGGAUGCGUCUGAUUAGCUUGUUGGCGGGGUAGCGGCCCACCAAGGCGACGAUCAGUAGGGGUUCUGAGAGGAAGGUCCCCCACAUUGGAACUGAGACACGGUCCAAACUCCUACGGGAGGCAGCAGUGAGGAAUAUUGGUCAAUGGACGAGAGUCUGAACCAGCCAAGUAGCGUGCAGGAUGACGGCCCUAUGGGUUGUAAACUGCUUUUAUAAGGGAAUAAAGUGAGUCUCGUGAGACUUUUUGCAUGUACCUUAUGAAUAAGGACCGGCUAAUUCCGUGCCAGCAGCCGCGGUAAUACGGAAGGUCCGGGCGUUAUCCGGAUUUAUUGGGUUUAAAGGGAGCGUAGGCCGGAGAUUAAGCGUGUUGUGAAAUGUAGACGCUCAACGUCUGCACUGCAGCGCGAACUGGUUUCCUUGAGUACGCACAAAGUGGGCGGAAUUCGUGGUGUAGCGGUGAAAUGCUUAGAUAUCACGAAGAACUCCGAUUGCGAAGGCAGCUCACUGGAGCGCAACUGACGCUGAAGCUCGAAAGUGCGGGUAUCGAACAGGAUUAGAUACCCUGGUAGUCCGCACGGUAAACGAUGGAUGCCCGCUGUUGGUCUGAAUAGGUCAGCGGCCAAGCGAAAGCAUUAAGCAUCCCACCUGGGGAGUACGCCGGCAACGGUGAAACUCAAAGGAAUUGACGG